UACGUAGGGGGCUAGCGUUGUCCGGAAUCAUUGGGCGUAAAGAGCGUGUAGGCGGCCCGGUAAGUCCGCUGUGAAAGUCGGGGGCUCAACCCUCGGAUGCCGGUGGAGUACUGUCGGGCUCGAGUACGGAAGAGGAGACUGGAAUUCCUGGUGUAGCAGUGAAAUGCGUAGAUAUCAGGAGGAAUACCGAUGGCGAAGGCAGGUCUCUGGGCUGACACUGACGCUCAUGCACCGAAAGGCGUGGGGAGCAAACAGG
rnacentral:rRNA from 1 species